ACGGACUCAUAUUGAAACCUAGUGAUUUAUGAGUUAGUGGCGGACGGGUGAGUAACGCGUGGAAAACCUGCCGUAUACCGGGGGAUAACACUUAGAAAUAGGUGCUAAUACCGCAUAAGCGCACAGCUUCGCAUGAAGCAGUGUGAAAAACUCCGGUGGUAUACGAUGGUUCCGCGUCUGAUUAGCUAGUUGGCGGGGUAACGGCCCACCAAGGCAGCGAUCAGUAGCCGGCCUGAGAGGGUGAACGGCCACAUUGGGACUGAGACACGGCCCAAACUCCUACGGGAGGCAGCAGUGGGGAAUAUUGCACAAUGGGGGAAACCCUGAUGCAGCGACGCCGCGUGAGUGAAGAAGUAUUUCGGUACGUAAAGCUCUAUCAGCAGGGAAGAAAAUGACGGUACCUGACUAAGAAGCCCCGGCUAACUACGUGCCAGCAGCCGCGGUAAUACGUAGGGGGCAAGCGUUAUCCGGAUUUACUGGGUGUAAAGGGAGCGUAGACGGCAGCGCAAGUCUGGAGUGAAAUGCCGGGGCUCAACCCCGGAACUGCUUUGGAAACUGUGCAGCUUGAGUGCGGGAGAGGUAAGUGGAAUUCCUAGUGUAGCGGUGAAAUGCGUAGAUAUUAGGAGGAACACCAGUGGCGAAGGCGGCUUGCUGGACCGUAACUGACGUUGAGGCUCGAAAGCGUGGGGAGCAAACAGGAUUAGAUACCCUGGUAGUCCACGCCGUANACGAUGAUUACUAGGUGUCGGNGGACCAAGGUCCUCCGGUGCCGGCGCNAACGCAUUAAGUAAUCCACCUNGGGAGUACGUUCGCAAGAA
rnacentral:rRNA from 1 species